AUUUAUGGCUCUUNAUUUUNAANAUUUAUCGCAGUAGGAUAGGCAUUCGUAAGAUUAGUUAGCUGGUGAGGUAACGGCUCACCAAGACGAUGAUCUUUAGGGGGCCUGAGAGGGUGAACCCCCACACUGGUACUGAGACACGGACCAGACUCCUACGGGAGGCAGCAGUGAGGAAUAUUGGACAAUGGGUGGAAGCCUGAUCCAGCCAUCCCGCGUGUAGGAUGACGGCCUUAUGGGUUGUAAACUACUUUUAUCUGGGGAUAAACCUACUUACGUGUAAGUAGCUGAAGGUACCAGAAGAAUAAGCACCGGCUAACUCCGUGCCAGCAGCCGCGGUAAUACGGAGGGCGCAAGCGUUAUCCGGAUUUAUUGGGUUUAAAGGGUCCGUAGGCGGAUUAAUCAGUCAGUGGUGAAAUCUCAUAGCUUAACUAUGAAACUGCCAUUGAUACUGUUAGUCUUGAGUGAUGUUGAAANUUGCUGGAAUGUGUAGUGUACCGGUGAAAUGCUUAGAUAUUACCCANAANNCCAAUUGCGAAGGCGGUGACUAAACCUUAACUGACNCUGAUGACNAAACNUGGGGAGCAANAGGAUUAAUNCCUGGUAGNCCUGCCGNAA
rnacentral:rRNA from 1 species